UGGGUUUAAAGGGAGUGUAGGCGGUUUGUUAAGCGUGUUGUGAAAUUUAGGUGCUCAACAUUUAACUUGCAGCGCGAACUGUCAGACUUGAGUACACGCAACGUAUGCGGAAUUCAUGGUGUAGCGGUGAAAUGCUUAGAUAUCAUGAAGAACUCCGAUUGCGAAGGCAGCAUACGGGAGUGUAACUGACGCUUAAGCUCGAAGGUGCGGGUAUCGAACAGGAUUAGAUACCCUGGUAGUCCGCACAGUAAACGAUGGAUGCCCGCUGUUAGCGCCUGGCGUUAGCGGCUAAGCGAAAGCAUUAAGCAUCCCACCUGGGGAGUACGCCGGCAACGGUGAAACUCAAAGGAAUUGACGGGGGCCCGCACAAGCGGAGGAACAUGUGGUUUAAUUCGAUGAUACGCGAGGAACCUUACCCGGGCU
rnacentral:rRNA from 1 species